rnacentral:rRNA from 1 species
GUAGUGGCGAAUGAAGCGGGAAAAGCUCAAGUUUGAAAUCCGGCGGGCAACCUCCGGAGUUGUAAGCUGAUGAGGUAUCGACCGACAUGGUCCGGGCCCAAUUUCCUUGGAACAGGAGGUCAUGGAGGGUGAGAACCCCGUCCGUGGCUCGGGUGCCAUUGUCCCUGUGUCAUGCCCUCUAAGAGUCGGGUUGUUUGGGAAUGCAGCUCAAAAUGGGUGGUAAAUUUCAUCUAAAGCUAAAUAUUGGCGAGAGACCGAUAGCAAACAAGUAGAGUGAUCGAAAGAUGAAAAGUACUUUGAAAAGAGAGUGAAACAGUACGUGAAAUUGUUGAAAGGGAAGCGUUUGGCAUCAGCCCUUGGCGUCCGUCGAACAUCCAGGCUUCUGUCUGGUGCACUCGUCGGCCGUCGGGCCAGCGUCGGCUCUGCCCGUCGGAGAAAGGCCUGAGGGAUGUGGCUCACCUUCGGGGGAGCGUUAUAACCUCGGGUGUCAUGCGAUGUGGUGGGGCCGAGGUCCGCG